GAUGAACGCUGGCGGCGUGCUUAACACAUGCAAGUCGAACGGAAAGGCUCCUGCUUGCAGGGGUACUCGAGUGGCGAACGGGUGAGUAACACGUGGGUGAUCUGCCCUGCACUUCGGGAUAAGCCUGGGAAACUGGGUCUAAUACCGGAUAGGACGAUGGCUUGGAUGCCAUUGUGGAAAGUUUUUUCGGUGUGGGAUGAGCUCGCGGCCUAUCAGCUUGUGGGUGGGGGAAUGGCCUACCAAGGCGUCGACGGGUAGCCGGCCUGAGAGGGUGUACGGCCACAUUGGGACUGAGGUACGGCGCAGAAUCCUACGGGGGGCAGCAGUGGGGAAUAUUGCACAAUGGGCGCAAGCCUGAUGCAGCGACGCCGCGUGGGGGAUGACGGCCUUCGGGUUGUAAACUCCUUUCGCUAGGGACGAAGCGCUAGUGACGGUACCUGGAGAAGAAGCACCGGCUAACUACGUG
rnacentral:rRNA from 1 species